GGAAAAUGCAGCAGUACUGCCGACUGGUGGUGAGGGUAGCUUUGUAAGCGCACUUUUGUUUUCAGAUCUUCCAUGCCCCAAGGCAUUCCCAGGGCUGAGGAGUUUGGUAAAUUCUGGGGAAAGAGAGGAAUUUGAAAUGUAUGAGUUGGUAGCUCAUUUAGAGGAUGUUCGGCCACCUGCUCGCAGACCGCGGGGACUUUCACAGCCAGUACAUGUACGGCGCAGGUGCCAGGAGAUUGAAAAUGAAAGUGAAUUGUCGAUUUUUCUAUCUUUUCAUUCAACUUCUUUUCAAAAGCUCUUCCUCUUUCAAAAAUCAUCCAAAUGCCUUUCCUUUAAAGUUAAUACCACAAGGAAUUGAAGUCUCAUUUCCUGGAAAUCCAGGGCUGGACGGCAUCCAUCCUUCAAAUGAGCCCCUAGAGAGAAGACGUGGAGACCGAACUCCCAACUCAGGUUUCCGGGGGAUGCGUAUUAGACCCCCGGCCUGGAAGCUGAGGUCACGGAUUACUUUCUCAUUGCCGUCAAGGCAUAAUGCAUGCCAUGCUCCAGCAUGAAGGUCUGUCCAUGUUAUCAAAAAUGGAAGGAUACCAUCCUUUCUCAUGGGUGAGUAAUAUUCCAUUGUGUGUAUGUACCACAUCUUUUUUAUCCCUUCAUCCAUUGAUGGUCAUCUGGGUUGUAUCCA
rnacentral:lncRNA from 1 species